GCUGUCCUGGACUGCCAGCCAGCACCACGGACACAGCCACUCUGCUGUGCCUGUGACAUCGGGGCAGAGAGGAAGUGGCUCUGUCUACGCUCAGUGUUCUGAGGCCGGCGAGCACUAAGCAUGUCUGCAGCCUCACAUGU